AGUAAAGUCAGCUAAACCCCCAAGCUAGUAGGUUCAUACCCUAAAAAUAGAAUUUAUUCUCUUUACUA
rnacentral:tRNA from 1 species